UAAACGGCCCUUUUCAGGGCCACCAAUAAAAUCUACAAAUA
rfam:Camponotus floridanus CamFlo_1.0_2.contig1226, whole genome shotgun sequence.